AUUGGAACUGUUUCUAAAGGUCUGACCUCAAAAAUUGACAUAUUCGGCAUUUUCGCAGUAAACCAAGGACUUAUAAUAGUGUAACAUUCAUAUAAUCUACUUCGGUUGAACAACUGCGCAAUUCAGAUCAAGCGGUUCCUUAGAUGUCUAGAUGAAUUGCUUGCGUGUCUAUGCUACCAGCAGCCGCUUAAGUUCGCAGCAAACGCCGAUCAACACGGAACUUACACGACGACGCUUAACUGAGAAAGAAACUGGCGUAUGACAGCUUCGGGGGCUACAAUAUACUCAUAUCCUAUACCUCCUAUACUCCACGAUUAUUAUUUUUGCAUAGGCGCCACUUUCCGACGAGAUAUUGAAUUUAAAAGACUCAAUUCGCAGCGCUAUCUACCGUCAAAAUUGUGCAAGUUGAUAACUUUUACUUACAAUGAAAAUUUAACUUUUGGAUGUCAACAUUUUUCUGGUUAAUAAAUUGCUGUCAAUUUGUGAUCAAUUGAUGCCAAUUUCAGCCUUUGCAAAUUGUUGUUAACUUUCUCAGAAAAUUGCUGACAAUUUGCAAUGAAUCAAUAACGGCUUUUGUGAAUGAUGCAGCAACUUGUUGCUAACUUUCUCAAAAAUGAGCAUCCAAAUGCCGACAAGUUCUGUAACCGUGAUAUAGUUGACAAUUAAUUAGAAAAGUAUGUUGUCAGCAAUUUGAUGAGAACUUUUUCUGUCAAAUUUUCUUCAUAUUACAGCUGCAGAUUCUUCGAAACUUUCUGGGAAAGUUGAAAUUUAGUUGAUGACAACUUCAGCCUUUGUAACUGAUACUGCAAUUUAUUGUCAACAUUCUUGCAACUGCGUAACAGUUGAUGGCAAUAACUCAGGGAACAAUAAUUUGACAUCAAUUUGACAAGAACUUUCUGGCAUAUUUUCAUCAUAUUGCAGCUGGAAAUUGUAAGAAACUUUCUUAUAAAAUUGGCGUCCUUAUGAGAAUCCCAGCUCCUGUAUCUAAAUUGACAACAAAUUGCUGGGUAAUAUGAUAAAAAUUCAAGCAACUCAUUCAU